GUCAAUUAUAAGAAAUUCGAGUCUUGAACACAUUGAUGUUUUCAUUCAUUGCUCAAAUCAUUUGUGUAUACACAAAAACAAAACAUAAACCCCAAAAUCUACUAAACACCUAAAGAAACACUAGCAAAUCCUUAAUACUAUUCCAGAAAAAGAACAAAGAGCUAUAAACUAAGAAAAACCAAGUCUUGAAUAUGUUUAAUCUUCAUCAGCAGAUGGCUUUGAACCACCGGUUUUCUUUGGAAGCAGAAGGUUGUGAAUGUUGGGCAUCACACCGCCAUUGGCAAUCGUUACAUCUCCGAGAAGUUUGCUUAGUUCCUCAUCGUUCCUCACUGCCAAUUGAAUAUGCCUCGGAACGAUCCUAGUCUUCUUGUUGUCCCUUGCUGCAU
rnacentral:misc_RNA from 1 species